ensembl:lncRNA
CGUUACUUCAGUCGUGUCUGACUCUUUACAACCCUACGGACCAUAGCCCGCCAGGCUCUUCUGUCCAUCGGAUUCUCCAGGCAAGAAUGCUGGAGUGAGUUACUAUGUCCUCCUCCAGGGAAUCUUCCUGAUCCAAGAAUGAAACCUGCGUCUUAUCUGUCUCCUGCAUUGGCAGGAAUAAAGAUAACAUAAGGGGAGUCUCUCAAGAGGAUUGGAGACUUCAGUACUGGCCAACCACUUGGAUGCUAUAAUAAAAUACCACAGACUGGGUGGCUUAUAAACAGCAGAAAUUUAUCACAGGUCUGGAGGCUAGAGGUCCAAGAUCAGCGUGACAACUCCCUCUGACUGCAGAACUCGCUGUAUCCCGCUGUAGCACAAGGGGCUGGGGAGCUCGUUAAUACUACAGUACGUGAUGGCAUCACUGACUCGAUGGACGUGAGUCUGAGUGAACUCCGGGAGUUGGUGAUGGACAGGGAGGCCUGGCGUGCUGUGAUUCAUGGGGUUGAAAGGAGUCGGACACGACUGAGCAACUGAACUGAACUGAACACUAUCUAAGGCUGAAUGAGGGGAUAUGGGACCUCGGAUUCAGAGGAAUAACAAGCAUAUUUGGAGGGUCAAGUGUAAAAUAUACACAGAUUUUGGACUUAACCUCCAAGUUGUUCAAGGGUCAAUUGUAUAUGUAUACAUAUAAUCACUCAAUUAUUUAUUGAUUCAAUCAGUGAGUAUCUAUUAAGUAUUUACUAAGUACCAUAUGCAGUUUUUAUGCUAAGUAUAAAAUAAAACAAUGUAUACAUGUUAAAGUUUAUCAUUAUAUAUGCGUAUCUAUAUGUUUAUAACUCCAUAGAAAAUUUAUUUUAAAGUGCCGUACAACAAAAAUAUAAUGUAAGUCACAUAUGUAAUUUAAAAUUUCCUAGUAGCUGUAGUAAAAUGGCUUUAUUAAAGGUGAAAUUAAUUUUACUUAUAUAUUUUAUUUUACAUAGUGUAUCCAAGAUAUUGUCAUUCUAACAUGUAAAUGUAAAACAAUUAUUCAUGAUAUAUUUCACACUUUUUUAGUCUUCAAAAUCCAUCACAGAUUUUAUACUUAGCACAUCUCAGAACAGGCCAGAGCUUAAGUUCACAACAAUCACACGUAGUUAGUGGCAUCUGUUGGAUAUUUCAGGUCUAGAAUAACAUAUAAAAACUGAUUGGGAGAUGGAAGAGGGAGAGGAAUUUACCUUUUAUUAUAUAUCCUUUCAUACUUUAGAUUCUUGUAUGCUGUGUACUUGUCGCCUAAUCAAAGAAAUUUGAAAAAAUAAAUUAAUAUAUUAAAAGCAUCAUGUUUUUAUCUGUG